rnacentral:rRNA from 1 species
AUUGAACGCUGGCGGCAGGCCUAACACAUGCAAGUCGAGCGAGCGGCGGACGGGUGAGUAAUGUAUGGGGACUGCCCGAUAGAGGGGGAUAACUACUGGAAAAGGUAGCUAAUACCGCAUACUAUCGGAUAACACAUAUGGGAGGAGCGAGUAGGUGAGGGAAUGGCUCACCUAGGCGACGAGCCCUAGCUGGUCUGAGAGGAUGAUCAGCAACACUGGGACUGAGACACGGCCCAGACUCCUACGGCGGCAGCAGUGGUGAAUAUUGCACAAUGGGCGCAAGCCUGAUGCAGCCAUGCCGCGUGUAUGAAGAAGGCCCUAGGGGUGUAAAGUACUUUCAGUCGGGAGGCGUUACCGACAGAAGAAGCACCGGCUAACUCCGUGCCAGCAGCCGCGGUAAUUC